rnacentral:lncRNA from 1 species
GCAGUCUCUCAAGUGGCUGGGAAUGAAUCAGCAGUGCUAGUGAGUGAGCCUGUCAUGACGAGCCCUUGCUUUGAGUAAGUUCAGAUGAUUUGUUCUUUCUUUCCUUAUUGACGCACAGGGGAGUGCAUCAACUAACAUAUGCUGCUCCAGGAAAUAUCAUAGGGACUGUAUAUAACUAAGAUCUGCCCUAGUAGCUACUUUGCUACUGAAUGCAGCGGCACAGAACUACCCCUGGCUUUUUCUCCAGACACAGACAGAUCAUUAAUAAAGGUGAGUCCAUUGUAGACUUGAAGAUUUCAUCCACCUCUCCCUCAUGCUCCAACUCUAGACUCUCAUCUGACACUCUUACAACGUCACAUGAGACAGUGACACAACACUACCUAAUGCUCACAACAUGGUGCGCGAUCCCACCCGUCCUAUAGGCCAACAUCUGCCAUGCAUGUGUGCAUCUCCCCUGCAUCACAGGAGGACAUGUGUGGCGCCCUUGGCCUCUUCGGGGUCUGACUUCUCUGGUUUGAGGAAGACGUGCAGUCUCAAAUAGAAUUAUAUAGCUCCAGGUAGCAAAUUCAUUUUAGGCUGUUCUAACCCAAGCUCUCACAUCACAAAGGAACGGAAAAAGCUCUUCUAGUGAUAUAGGUAUUUGGUCACUUCUGCUCCAGGCAACAUCUUUGGUCAGAAUGAAAGGAGGACAUCAGACCUGGCUUGGAAAGCAUCUCCUGGAUGGGUGACGAGGAAUACACAGAUCCUAAUAGAGACCAGGGCUGUCGAGAGAACAAAGAAUGCGUUUUCCACAGGAAAGAAUCUCCAAUUUACCCUCAGCAUCCUCAUAAAUAGAAAUUACAAGGAAAUACAUCAAGGAAAGAAUUAAUCAGAUUGAAAGGCAUUGUAGUAAUUAGAAGAAAAAGAGUGGCAUCUUCUCAGGCUCCCCCGGGUGGUGGUAAUUACCAGCUACGCAACUGUGACUUGUGCAAUGUAAAGUGUUCUGGAUUAAAAAGCUAAAUAUCUUUUUGUUUCCUUUCUUAGAGAAGCCAUUCUUGGAAUCAAGCAGCUGCACAGGCUGGGA